rnacentral:snRNA from 1 species
AUUGCUUCUCAGCCUUUCAGCUAAGAGCAAACAUAGUAUCUGUUCUUACCAGUUUAAUAGAAAGGAAAUUUGGUAAAUAUUCCAUUUCUGAGCAUUUAGGAGAUAGUUUUGAGUGAUAAGAGCACUGGAAGAAAUAUGUACUCAGUUUACUCAGCCUGGGGACAUUUAAAGUCCU